AUUGAACGCUGGCGGCAUGCCUUACACAUGCAAGUCGAACGGUAACGGGUCCUUCGGGAUGCCGACGAGUGGCGAACGGGUGAGUAAUAUAUCGGAAAGUGCCCAGUAGUGGGGGAUAACUGCUCGAAAGAGCAGCUAAUACCGUAUACGACCUGCGGGUGAAAGGGGGGGAUCGCAAGACCGCACGCUCUUGGAGCGGCCGAUAUCAGAUUAGCUAGUUGGUGGGGUAAAGGCCUACCAAGGCAACGAUGUGGCGUCGGUCUGAGAGGACGACCAGUCACACUGGGACUGAGACACGGCCCAGACUCAUACGGGAGGCAGCAGUGGGGAAUUUUGGACAAUGGGCGCAAGCCUGAUCCAGCAAUGCCGCGUGCAGGAAGAAGGCCUUCGGGUUGUAAACUGCUUUUGUAAGGGAAGAAAUCUUCUGGGCUAAUACCCCGGGAGGAUGACGGUACCUGAAGAAUAAGCACCGGCUAACUACGUGCCAGCAGCCGCCGUAA
rnacentral:rRNA from 1 species